UGGUGGAGUGAUUUGUCUGGUUAAUUCCGAUAACGAACGAGAUCUUAGCCUGCUAAAUAGAUCUAUCUAUAUUUAUAGUUAGAAUCUUCUUAGAGGGACAAUGCGGAUUGACCGCAAGGAAGGUAAAGGCAAUAACA
rnacentral:rRNA from 1 species